rnacentral:lncRNA from 1 species
UUUAUGAAAAGAAAUUGCAAAUAUACUAUUUAAAUAUUAAACAUCCCAAUAAACUAUUCUUUGGUACAAAUCAAAGUAACUGCCAACUCAAAGUAGCUAACUACCAAUUCCAACCAAAUUCAUAAUUCAUCGACUAAAAUCAAGGAAACUACCAAAUCCAUAAUUCACCAACUAUAUUACGACCACAAUAUACCCAGAAAGAUGAAAAAGAGGUUAAUCCUCUAAUCACUAGAGACAACAAUGAGAAACUAGCAACUUCAAAUGAGUCGAGCAUCAAUCCAGCCAACUUUAACUUCAAGACUCUUUCCGUUCCUCCUCUCUUUACCUACAAAUUCCAAUCUGCUUUUUCCAUUUACCGAGAAUCUCCUCUGGAUUUGUAGUUGCCUGAACUAACGAGAUUUGGUGUUUCUAUAGAAUCUGAAGAAAUGAAACAGUUUAACGGCAAAAAUGAACAAAAUUGCAAAAAAAAAAAGGUACAAUUUAGGAGCAAAAAUAUAGCACAAUUGCAAAGAUUUCACCUUAACAUAAUUUGGUGAGGUGAGCUAUCUUAAUUAAUAAGUAUCAGUUUAUGCCGGAGUGGCCUCCUGAUAGUAUCAUAUAUAUUCUUUCCACCACAACUAAAUUUCCCCGUAAAGAGAGUCAGAGGCAUAAACUAAAUUACAUAAUUUUUAAGACCUUCUGUAUGUAAACUAUAAGGCCUUCAUCAGUAAUUUUCUUCUCAAGCUGGUCGGUCACAUGAAACACUGGUCAAAAUAAAUAGAUUUGAUGUGUUCAGAGAGUAGUAUUUUAAGCUCAAAAAGUUUACAUAAGACUUAUUAGUUAUUUAACCAAUUGAGAGGUGAGUUUGAGGGGAGAGGUUCCCCGAUUUUUCAUAAUUGCCGGUGAGCUUCAAUAAAGAGGUGAGGUUGAGCAGAGAGAGGUAAGGUGAGGUGAGAUAGGUGAGUGGAGAGAGUGAGGUGGG